rfam:Trichomalopsis sarcophagae strain Alberta scaffold8180, whole genome shotgun sequence.
CCAUCAGUCCUUUUCAGGACUACAAAAUAUAAUUUGAACGUAGGAA